rnacentral:rRNA from 1 species
ACGGGUGAGUAACACGUGGGUGAUCUGCCCUGCACUUUGGGAUAAGCCUGGGAAACUGGGUCUAAUACCGAAUAUGACCGCAUUCUUCAUGGGGUGUGGUGGAAAGCUUUUGCGGUGUGGGAUGGGCCCGCGGCCUAUCAGCUUGUUGGUGGGGUAAUGGCCUACCAAGGCGACGACGGGUAGCCGGCCUGAGAGGGUGACCGGCCACACUGGGACUGAGAUACGGCCCAGACUCCUACGGGAGGCAGCAGUGGGGAAUAUUGCACAAUGGGCGCAAGCCUGAUGCAGCGACGCCGCGUGAGGGAUGACGGCCUUCGGGUUGUAAACCUCUUUCAGCACAGACGAAGCGCAAGUGACGGUAUGUGCAGAAGAAGGACCGGCCAACUACGUGCCAGCAGCCGCGGUAAUACGUAGGGUCCGAGCGUUGUCCGGAAUUACUGGGCGUAAAGAGCUCG